AUUGAACGCUGGCGGCAUGCUUUACACAUGCAAGUCGAACGGCAGCACGGGGCAACCUGGUGGCGAGUGGCGAACGGGUGAGUAAUGCAUCGGAACGUGCCAUUGAGUGGGGGAUAACGUAGCGAAAGUUGCGCUAAUACCGCAUAUUCUGUGAGCAGGAAAGCAGGGGACCGCAAGGCCUUGCGCUCUUUGAGCGGCCGAUGUCAGAUUAGCUAGUUGGUGAGGUAACGGCUUACCAAGGCGACGAUCUGUAGCGGGUCUGAGAGGAUGAUCCGCCACACUGGAACUGAGACACGGUCCAGACUCCUACGGGAGGCAGCAGUGGGGAAUUUUGGACAAUGGGCGCAAGCCUGAUCCAGCCAUGCCGCGUGAGUGAAGAAGGCCUCGGUUGUAAGGUACUCUUUCGGUCCGGGAACGGAAA
rnacentral:rRNA from 1 species